GAGCUGGUGGAAGUGACUGCUGAGUCACUCUCCACCAUUUACCAGUGCUUCUGAUUAUCUGGAGAGGUGCCAGAGGAUUGGAGGCUUCCCAGUGUUACUCCCAUCUACAAGAAGGUCUGUAAGGAGGAUCCAGAGAACUAAAGGCCUGUCAGCUGGACCUCAGUACCAGAGAAAGUUAUGGAGCAAAUCAUCUUGGUAUGUCAGUUGAAACCAGAACACUGCCUCUCAUACUUUUAUAUGUGACACAGCUGGGACACAGCUAAAAUCCAGUAGACAGGAGAACUCUUGAUGUACCAGAUGGAAAACUUGGAGACAUAAUUAAGGAGUAAACAGUAUCCAGAAACUCAAAUCAGACCAAGUAACUUCUUAAGAGUUUUGGAAUACAAACAGGACUCAGUGGAACACGCACAUGAGAAGAGCACAGUAGCCUGGCAUUCAAAUAGAACAGUUGAUGCUCAUUCACAGACUGCUCCAUCUUCACUUUUAAGACUUUAAAUGUAUGAGAAGCUGACUGACUUAGAUGACAGUAAGGUGCUGUUCUAUACAGAAUGGUCAUAGAAGCUCAAUGAGGAAACUAAUAUUAGAUUACAAAAUUUUGUCUUUUAAAAAUGAGAUGAAUGACACCUUCAUUUCAAACUUUCAAAACUGACAUUGUUAACUGAAUCAGUUACAGACAAGUGAGCAAUUACUACAGAGAAACAGUAGGAGUGAAUUUACCAUCCACACAGUGAAAAAAGGAAAAAUAUAAUAUACAUCAGUCUAUGUAUCUGCCCUGUAGGAUUUUUCUAAUAAACCUUUUUUUUUUUUUUUUUUUCCAGUUCUCUUAGAAAGUCAAGUCCUGAAAAUUCUAAAUGACUAAUAUGUUAAUAAAGUACAUCCUUCAUCUUUAAGGAUCUUUAUUUUACGUGCAAAUAAAAACUUUGCUCUGCUUUCUUUGAAUGCAAUUCGUACCCCUUUCCAAAAUGAAAAAUGACUGAACAGAACUCAAAAUUUUUAUAACAGUAUGCAAAUUAAAUAUUUUGGCUGUUUUCCAAUACCUUAAAAAUUACAUUUUGGAAGGAAUGCUUUUCCAAUGAAAGGAUUAUAAGUAAUUUUCAGUAAAAAAAAAAAAAAAAAAAAAAGGAAUCUUGGUGAGCUAGGGCAUUCACUGCAUGUAUACUGCAUUGACAGUUUUCAGUGAUUUCAGGUUUUCUUACAGAAAGUAUUUUCUACUAAAUUUUAUUUUUCUCCCUUUCAACAGCUUUUGAAAUACCAUUAUCAAUUUAGUAUUUUCUGGAUGAGAAAAAAUGUGUAAAAGGAAAAUAUAAUUCACAGUAUCUAGUUUCUCUCUAGAUUUUCAAGUUUUUGAUGCUGAAUUCCAGAAUAAAGGAAUAACUCAAGAACAGGAAGAACCAAAAAUAAUUUUAGCUUUGAAGAGUUUAAUUUACAGGAAAAGGAGGUUUUGAGUCAGACUCAUAUCUGAUGUUGUUUUAUAAAAAAUGUAUCCAUUCCAGAUUUUGCAAAACAUAUUCUCAUGUCAAAGUGCAUUCUUUAAUCUGCAUUUAUAAGUAAUGAUUUUGUUUAAUUAUACAGAGCAGGAGUUGUACAUUACCAUACUGAAUAUGUCAUUAGAAUAGUUUUUAUUCUAAGUUAUUUUUUAAUGGCAUUUGGUUGCUUAAGUGUAAAAAAUGAGAAUACAAAUAUAACACAUCCUUUUUU
ensembl:lncRNA